ensembl:lncRNA LINC02468 long intergenic non-protein coding RNA 2468
GCUGUCUAACAGCCUUAGCCAUUGUUGCCUUCAGGCUCUAGGGAGUCCGAGGAGACCAGGGAAUGAAGCGCUCCCCAGCACAGUGCAGCAGUUCUACAGAGAAGCAGCCAGACUGAUUUUUCGUGCAAGUCCUUUAUGCUGUUUCUCUUUACUGGGCAGAAUCUCCAAACCGAGGACGACAACCACCCCCAUAGAUGUGUUCAGGCAAGCAAAUAGCUAGAACAUCAAUAAGAUGCUGGAGUUUAAUCAACCACAGCAGACUGUGAGGUGGAAGCCACUUGGUGAUUGUGAGCCAGCACCAAGAUCGAAGGCAUUUGGAUCCCUGGUGAUCACAGACCCAGCAUGUCAUCUCUGCAAAGGUCUUUGAGCAGGAGCCCAAGGAAGGAAAAAUAAGGACACACAUUUUUGGCUGGAUUAGUAACAUCUUUCCUUUGUCUUCAUCCACCAGUGUUCUUGGUACACUGAAAUGUAACAAGAAAUUUGAAAAAUCUUAUUUUCCAUGUCAGAAGCUAUUACAUCAUUCCAUUUGCAAUAACAUACUUUAAUCUUCUCCAGGUUUCAUAAAUUCUUGGGACAACUAUAAUAAAUGUUAUUUGCUUGGAAAGCUAAAGAAGAA